AGAGUUUGAUCCUGGCUCAGAUUGAACGCUGGCGGCAUGCCUUACACAUGCAAGUCGAACGGCAGCACGGGAGCAAUCCUGGUGGCGAGUGGCGAACGGGUGAGUAAUAUAUCGGAACGUGCCCAGUCGUGGGGGAUAACGCAGCGAAAGCUGUGCUAAUACCGCAUACGAUCCAUGGAUGAAAGCGGGGGAUCGCAAGACCUCGCGCGAUUGGAGCGGCCGAUAUCAGAUUAGCUAGUUGGUGGGGUAAAAGCCCACCAAGGCGACGAUCUGUAGCUGGUCUGAGAGGACGACCAGCCACACUGGAACUGAGACACGGUCCAGACUCCUACGGGAGGCAGCAGUGGGGAAUUUUGGACAAUGGGCGCAAGCCUGAUCCAGCAAUGCCGCGUGCAGGAUGAAGGCCUUCGGGUUGUAAACUGCUUUUGUACGGAACGAAACGGUUCGCUUUAAUACAGUGGGCUAAUGACGGUACCGUAAGAAUAG
rnacentral:rRNA from 1 species